rnacentral:rRNA from 1 species
UACGGGGGGGGCAAGCGUUGUUCGGAAUUACUGGGCGUAAAGGGCUCGUAGGUGGCUAACUAAGUCAGACGUGAAAUCCCUCGGCUCAACCGAGGACGUGCAUUCGAAACUGCUUGGCUCGAGUAUGGAAGAGGGUCGCGGAAUUCCCGGUGUAGAGGUGAAAUUCGUAGAUAUCGGGAGGAACACCAGUGGCGAAGGCGGCGACCUGGGCCAAUACUGACGCUGAGGUGCGAAAGCGUGGGGAGCAAACAGG